rnacentral:lncRNA from 1 species
UUGAAGUACCCCCAAUAACAAGGGGAAUGAUGUGUCAAGCUAAUGACGAUAAAGGAGCGCUGCUUGGGAGGCAACCCGAGGAAAUUAUUCGUAAUUUUUAUUUUCAGUUUCAAUUUUAUAUUAACUUUUUAGUUUUAUUUGCUUUAAGUGGUUUAUUUUCUGAUUGUUUACUUUCAUCUAGUAAUAUGAUAAUUGUAGCUUUAGUGGUUGUGUGAAAAGUACCCAAACUUAAGGCAUGUGU